AGAGUUUGAUCCUGGCUCAGGAUGAACGCUAGCUACAGGCUUAACACAUGCAAGUCGAGGGGAAACGAUAUUGGAAGCUUGCUUCCGAUAGGCGUCGACCGGCGCACGGGUGAGUAACGCGUAUCCAACCUGCCCACCACUUGGGAAUAACCUUGCGAAAGUAAGACUAAUACCCAAUGACGUCUCUAGAAGACAUCUGAAAGGGAUUAAAGAUUUAUCGGUGAUGGAUGGGGAUGCGUCUGAUUAGCUUGUUGGCGGGGUAACGGCCCACCAAGGCGACGACCAGUAGGGGUUCUGAGAGGAAGGUCCCCCACAUUGGAACUGAGACACGGUCCAAACUCCUACGGGAGGCAGCAGUGAGGAAUAUUGGUCAAUGGACGAGAGUCUGAACCAGCCAAGUAGCGUGCAGGAUGACGGCCCUAUGGGUUGUAAACUGCUUUUAUAAGGGAAUAAAGUGAGUCUCGUGAGACUUUUUGCAUGUACCUUAUGAAUAAGGACCGGCUAAUUCCGUGCCAGCAGCCGCGGUAAUACGGAAGGUCCGGGCGUUAUCCGGAUUUAUUGGGUUUAAAGGGAGCGUAGGCCGGAGAUUAAGCGUGUUGUGAAAUGUAGAUGCUCAACAUCUGCACUGCAGCGCGAACUGGUUUCCUUGAGUACGCACAAAGUGGGCGGAAUUCGUGGUGUAGCGGUGAAAUGCUUAGAUAUCACGAAGAACUCCGAUUGCGAAGGCAGCUCACUGGAGCGCAACUGACGCUGAAGCUCGAAAGUGCGGGUAUCGAACAGGAUUAGAUACCCUGGUAGUCCGCACGGUAAACGAUG
rnacentral:rRNA from 1 species